UGGGGAAUAUUGGGCAAUGGGCGCAAGCCUGACCCAGCAACGCCGCGUGAGGGAAGAAGGCUUUCGGGUUGUAAACCUCUGUCCUUGGUGACGACAAAAAUGACGGUAGCCAAGGAGGAAGCCCCGGCUAACUACGUGCCAGCAGCCGCGGUAAUACGUAGGGGGCGAGCGUUGUCCGGAAUGACUGGGCGUAAAGGGUGCGUAGGUGGCCUGUUAAGUUGGAUGUGAAAUCCCCGGGCUUAACUUGGGUGGUGCAUCUAAUACUGGAGGGCUAGAGUGCAGGAGAGGGAAGCGGAAUUCCUAGUGUAGCGGUGAAAUGCGUAGAUAUUAGGAGGAACACCAGUGGCGAAGGCGGCUUUCUGGACUGUAACUGACACUGAGGCACGAAAGCGUGGGGAGCAAACA
rnacentral:rRNA from 1 species